AAAGAAAAUAAAUAAAUAGGUUCAAUAGAUAAAACCUCUAUUGAUUAAAAGAGAAGUUGGGUGCACAUCCUACGUGGUCCCGCUGCUGUAAAAGAGGAGUUCUUGCUGAUAUGCCGCUGGGAAACCGGAAAGGCUGUAAAUUGAUCAUUAGAAAGAAUUGACAAUUUAGGGAGAGGAUU
rnacentral:ncRNA from 1 species